AGCGAACGCUGGCGGCAGGCCUAAUACAUGCAAGUCGAACGGCUCUUCGGAGCAGUGGCGGACGGGUGAGUAACGCGUGGGAAUGUGCCCUUAGGUACGGAACAACACAGGGAAACUUGUGCUAAUACCGUAUGUCCCCUUCGGGGGAAAGAUUUAUCGCCUUUGGAGCAGCCCGCGUUGGAUUAGGUAGUUGGUGAGGUAAAGGCUCACCAAGCCGACGAUCCAUAGCUGGUCUGAGAGGAUGACCAGCCACACUGGGACUGAGACACGGCCCAGACUCCUACGGGAGGCAGCAGUAGGGAAUCUUGCGCAAUGGGCGAAAGCUUGACGCAGCCAUGCCGCGUGUAUGAUGAAGGUCUUAGGAUUGUAAAAUACUUUCACCGGGGAAGAUAAUGACGGUACCCGGAGAAGAAGCCCCGGCUAACUUCGUGCCAGCCGCCGCCGUAA
rnacentral:rRNA from 1 species